UGGGGCAUCGUUCAACGGCAGGACUCGGGCUUUUGGUGCCCGCUAUCCAGGUUCGAAUCCUGGUGCCCCAGCCA
rnacentral:tRNA from 1 species